rnacentral:piRNA from 1 species
CUUACAUUGAUGGAAAUGUAUGGAAAGC